CCAAAGAGAUAGGGCAACAUUGAUCGUUUCUUUCACAACAUCGAACACAGGUUCUUCACAUCGAAUACUAGUUCUUCAGAUUCUAUCAUCUCCCCUCAAGAUGAGCAUGUUCAAUCUUGAUUGAUCAUGUUCAUCUUGACAAAAAGAUCCUGGAGAUGAUGCGCUUGAACGGUUUUAGUCAAAAUGUCUCCCAAUUGAUCAUUUGUUCUGAGGUUCUGGAUGCACAGAGAUAUUUGCAAUAAAAUGUUCAUGGGAUGCAUGAGUAUGAAUGGAUGCAGAAUCACACACAUAAUCUUGUUGUGUGUGAUGGCAUGUAGUGCAAGGAAGAAGUUGGAAAUGUCGAGGGUUGAGAGUAAAUGGGAAGAGGAAGAGUGGGGUUUGGUAGUAAUGAAGGUUGGUUUCUAUUAAAGAUGGUUUGUUGGGGUGGCUGUUGAGACACCCUAGAGUUGAAAACAGCUGAGGUCGUUUGACCUUUUUGAGGAAUCACUCUAGAUGCAGGUUUGUUGAUGGCAUUUCACCACUUCUUUGAGGUUGUAAAGAUCUUGUUGGAAUAUCACCAGUCAAGCUUGUUUGUCCCACACCAGGAGGAGAACCUGGCUCCGAUACCAUGAUAAAUCGCGGAUAUUCUCAUGGAGUUAAAGAAAUUAUAGAUAGAAGAAGAAGAUCAUAGAUGAAGAAGAAGAAGAAGAUGGAGAGAAGAAACUUGCAUUAAACUUUUUAUUAUUGUAAAAUGUCAAGUUACAAUGUUUGGCUGAGAUAGCCUAGCUUUAAGCAAAGAGAGACAAUUUGAAUCUAACGUUUACUAACUUGAAAA